rnacentral:rRNA from 1 species
AGUGAACGCUGGCGGUAGGCCUAACACAUGCAAGUCGAACGGCAGCACAGGAGAGCUUGCUCUCUGGGUGGCGAGUGGCGGACGGGUGAGGAAUACAUCGGAAUCUACUUUUUCGUGGGGGAUAACGUAGGGAAACUUACGCUAAUACCGCAUACGACCUACGGGUGAAAGCUGGGGAUCUUCGGACCUUGCGCGAUUGAAUGAGCCGAUGUCGGAUUAGCUAGUUGGCGGGGUAAAGGCCCACCAAGGCGACGAACCGUAGCUGGUCUGAGGGGAAGAACAAGCACCCUGGAACUGAGGCACGGUCCAAACUCCUACGGGAGGCAGCAGUGGGGAAUAUUGGACAAUGGGCGCAAGCCUGAUCCAGCCAUACCGCGUGGGUGAAGAAGGCCUUCGGGUUGUAAAGCCCUUUUGUUGGGAAAGAAAUCCAGCUGGUUAAUACCCGGUUGGGAUGACGGUACCCAAAGAAUAAGCACCGGCUAACUUCGUGCCAGCAGCCGCCGUAA